GUCAUUGAGGUUUAGUGGUAGAAUUCUUGCCUCCCAUGCAGGAGACCCGGGUUUGAUUCCCAGCCAGUGCA
rnacentral:tRNA from 1 species